UGAGGAAUUUUGCGCAAUGGGGGAAACCCUGACGCAGCAACGCCGCGUGAGUGAAGAAGGCCUUCGGGUCGUAAAGCCCUGUCGGGCGGGAAGAACGUCCCUUCGGGGAAUGACGGUACCGCCAGAGGAAGCACCGGCUAACUCCGUGCCAGCAGCCGCGGUAAUACGGAGGGUGCAAGCGUUAUUCGGAAUUACUGGGCGUAAAGGGCGUGCAGGCGGGAGAGCAAGUCUGAUGUGAAAGCCCGGGGCUUAACCCCGGAAGGGCAUUGGAAACUGCUUUUCUUGAGUUCUGGAGAGGAAGGGAGAAUUCCCGGUGUAGAGGUGAGAUUCGUAGAGAUCGGGAGGAAUAUCAGUGGCGAAGGCGCCCAUCUGGACGGUAACUGACGCUGAGACGCGAAAGCGUGGGGAGCAAACA
rnacentral:rRNA from 1 species